GAGGAACGCUGGCGGCGUGUUUAACAUUGCAAGAGGAAGGGAGAUUAUUGACGGAUUUUUUCGGAUGGAAAACGGGAAUCUUAGUGGCGGAAGGGUGAGUAACCCGCGGGUCACCUGCCCCGUACAUGGGGAUAGCAUCGGGAAACUGACGGGAAGACCGCAUAGGACCACAUAUUCCCUUGGAUAAGUGGUGAAAAGGGAAACCUGGUAUGGUAUCGACCCGCGUCCGAUUAGCCAGUUGGCCGGGUAAACGCCUACCAAAGCUUCGAUCGGUAGCCGGACUGUUUUGUCGGACGGCCACAUUGGUACUGGGACACGGCCCAGACUCCUACGGGAGUUUUUAUUGGGGGAUCUUGCACGUUGGAUGAAAGUCUCCUGCAGGGACGCCCCGUC
rnacentral:rRNA from 1 species